rnacentral:rRNA from 1 species
GUGGGGAAUAUUGCACAAUGGGGGAAACCCUGAUGCAGCGACGCCGCGUGAGUGAAGAAGUAUUUCGGUACGUAAAGCUCUAUCAGCAAGGAAGAAAAUGACGGUACUUGACUAAGAAGCCCCGGCUAACUACGUGCCAGCAGCCGCGGUAAUACGUAGGGGGCAAGCGUUAUCCGGAUUUACUGGGUGUAAAGGGAGCGUAGACGGUAUGGUAAGUCAGAUGUGAAAGCCCGGGGCUCAACCCCGGGACUGCAUUUGAAACUAUCAGACUAGAGUGCAGGAGAGGUAAGUGGAAUUCCUAGUGUAGCGGUGAAAUGCGUAGAUAUUAGGAGGAACACCAGUGGCGAAGGCGGCUUACUGGACUGUAACUGACGUUGAGGCUCGAAAGCGUGGGGAGCAAACAGGAUUAGAUACCCGGGUAGUCC